rnacentral:rRNA from 1 species
AGAGUUUGAUCCUGGCUCAGGGCGAACGCUAGCGGCGCGCCUAACACAUGCAAGUCGUGCGGGAAAGGGCUUCGGCCCUAGUACCGCGGCAGACGGGUGAGUAACACGUGAGCAACCUGUCCCCGGGUCUGGGAUAACCACCCGAAAGGGUGGCUAAUACCGGAUAAAGUCACCGGGCGCAAGCUCGGUGAUGAAAGGGGGCCUCUGCAUAGCAAGCUCCUGCCUGGGGAGGGGCUCGCGGCCCAUCAGCUAGUUGGUGGGGUAACGGCCCACCAAGGCUAUGACGGGUAGCCGGCCUGAGAGGGUGGUCGGCCACACGGGCACUGAGACACGGGCCCGACUCCUACGGGAGGCAGCAGUGGGGAAUCUUGGGCAAUGGGCGAAAGCCUGACCCAGCGACGCCGCGUGGGGGAAGAAGGCCUUCGGGUCGUAAACCCCUGUUCUGGGGGAAGAACCCUGAACGGGUUAAUAGCCCGUUCAGGCUGACGGUACCCCAGGAGAAAGCCACGGCUAACUGCGUGCCAGCAGCCGCGGUAAUACGCAGGUGGCGAGCGUUGCCCGGAAUCACUGGGCGUAAAGGGUGCGUAGGCGGCAGGGCAAGUCGCGGGUUAAAGCCCGGGGCUCAACCCCGGAAAGGCCUGCGAUACUGCCUUGCUUGAGGGCCGGAGAGGCUGGCGGAAUUCCCGGUGUAGGGGUGAAAUCCGUAGAUAUCGGGAGGAACACCGGUGGGGAAGCCGGCCAGCUGGACGGUUCCUGACGCUGAGGCACGAAAGCGUGGGGAGCAAACCGGAUUAGAUACCCGGGUAGUCCACGCCGUAAACGAUGGGUGCUAGGUCUGGGGAGGAAACUCUCUGGGCCGAAGCUAACGCGUUAAGCACCCCGCCUGGGGAGUACGGCCGCAAGGCUGAAACUCAAAGGAAUUGACGGGGGCCCGCACAAGCGGUGGAGCACGUGGUUUAAUUCGAUGCAAAGCGAAGAACCUUACCUGGGCUUGACAUGCCAGGGUUGUACCCCGGUGGAAACACUGGGGGAGCGUGGGUUUUUACUCACGCGCUCUGGCACAGGUGCUGCAUGGCUGUCGUCAGCUCGUGCCGUGAGGUGUUGGGUUAAGUCCCGUAACGAGCGCAACCC